GUCCACGUGGAGAAAUGGGUAAGUUGCUUUCUUUGAAAAACCAACCAACAGAAAUAAACUAAUUCAAAUUAUAGUAACUCGUCGACCUCCUACUUUAGUGAGUCGAAGAUUUGCGGGUUCGAGUCCCGUCGUGGAUG
rnacentral:tRNA from 1 species